rnacentral:lncRNA from 10 species
AAGACAGAGACAGAGAGAAAGAGAGAGAGAGAGAGGUGAGAGAGAGGCUUGGCUAGCAAAGGUGGUCUUCUUACGGAGAUAGAACCUUGCAGGUAGCAGCGAUGUUCCUCCAGCAUAAAAACAAGACAAAGUUUCUGCAGAGCUGCUCUAACCCAAUAAUAAAAUUGGACAAUAAGCUGCAUAUCUGCCGGAAACCUGGGACUGGCAAUGGAGAUGAGAAGAGAAUCAGAAGGCUGAAAUGAAGCCACAAUGUUGACAGCAAGUGGAGUCUGGCAACCCCAAGUUUCCAAAGUGCACAUCUGCGCUGGGGCCUGGAGAUUUCUGGAAGGGAAUCAGUCUGUGUCCUUUUUGCAGGAUAUGUCUGAUGACAUAGAAGCUGUGGAAUCCAUUCUUCAGGGUCUAAACUCAAGCCUGGUCCUUAGUUCUCCGUACUGUAUUCUUCCUGACCUCCAGACCUGAGCGUCCUCCCCUUCAAAAGACAAAGCCAUCCAAAGAGUCUGAGCACUCCAAGUGAGCAGCUUGAAGAGUGAGAGACAUGGACAGAGGGAAGGGCAGGUCUGUGCAGCCUGUGGCCAUAAACCCCACCUCUGGCCUUCUCCAGUGAAGCCACACUCAAGAUUUAAGAGAACUUGUGAUCAACUUGGGGUAUUUGCACCCCACGAAAAGGGAGUUUGCAGGAUCCCUAAUAUCACUGCGAGUUGCCACUUUUCCAGUCUUUUUUUGCUGUUCGCUCAUAUCCACAGGGAAAAAAACGAAAUGAGCAGCCCAGUCCCUCAGGCCUUUUUCUUUAAUGUUGCCAUCAAAAAUCAAUAAAAUGCAUCAAGC